rnacentral:rRNA from 1 species
UACGUAGGGGGCAAGCGUUGUCCGGAUUUAUUGGGCGUAAAGAGCUCGUAGGCGGUUCGACAAGUCGAAUGUGAAAUCUCCACGCUCAACGUGGAGGGGUCAUUCGAAACUGUCGUGACUUGAGUACGGUAGGGGAGUGUGGAAUUCCCGGUGUAGCGGUGAAAUGCGCAGAGAUCGGGAGGAACACCCGUAGCGAAGGCGGCACUCUGGGCCGAUACUGACGCUGAGGAGCGAAAGCGUGGGGAGCAAACAGGAUUAG